rnacentral:rRNA from 1 species
GACGAACGCUGGCGGCGUGCUUAACACAUGCAAGUCGAACGGAAAGGCCCUGCUUUUGUGGGGUGCUCGAGUGGCGAACGGGUGAGUAACACGUGAGUAACCUGCCCUUGACUUUGGGAUAACUUCAGGAAACUGGGGCUAAUACCGGAUAGGAGCUCCUGCUGCAUGGUGGGGGUUGGAAAGUUUCGGCGGUUGGGGAUGGACUCGCGGCUUAUCAGCUUGUUGGUGGGGUAGUGGCUUACCAAGGCUUUGACGGGUAGCCGGCCUGAGAGGGUGACCGGCCAAAUUGGGACUGAGAUACGGCCCAGACUCCUACGGGAGGCAGCAGCGGGGAAUAUUGCACAAUGGGCGGAAGCCUGAUGCAGCAACGCCGCGUGCGGGAUGACGGCCUUCGGGUUGUAAACCGCUUUCGCCUGUGACGAAGCGUGAGUGACGGUAAUGGGUAAAGAAGCACCGGCUAACUACGUG